ACGGGUGAGUAACGCGUAGGUAAUCUACCCCAAAAUCUGGAAUAACCUGCCGAAAGGCGGGCUAAUACUGGAUAGAGCGACGGAAUCCGUAAUUGGGUUUUUCGGGAAAGGGAGGAAGCAAUUCCCUUCGUUUUGGGAUGAGCCUGCGUCUCAUUAGCUAGUUGGUGGGGUAAAGGCCCACCAAGGCUAUGAUGGGUAGCUGGUCUGAGAGGAUGAUCAGCCACACUGGAACUGAAACACGGUCCAGACUCCUACGGGAGGCAGCAGUGGGGAAUCUUGCGCAAUGGAGGAAACUCUGACGCAGCCACGCCGCGUGAGUGAAGAAGGCCUUAGGGUUGUAAAGCUCUGUCGCCUGGGACGAAAAAUAUUAGGGUUAACAGCCCUAGUGUCUGACGGUACCAGGAAAGGAAGCACCGGCUAACUCCGUGCCAGCAGCCGCGGUAAUACGGAGGGUGCAAGCGUUGCUCGGAAUUAUUGGGCGUAAAGGGUAGGUAGGUGGUCUCAUUUGUCUGGGGUGAAAGCCUUGAGCUUAACUCAAGAAGUGCCCCAGAAACGGUGAGACUGGAGUCCUGGAGAGGGUCGUGGAAUUC
rnacentral:rRNA from 1 species